ensembl:lncRNA
CCCUCUCCCAACUCUUCAGGACUCAGGGAUCCGGGGAGCCUUCCCUCGUUCUCUCUCGAAGAACAAAUGAAAUUUCACAGUUUACCGUCUGGGCGAUGUUAGAUCAGCUUGUGUCUUAAACUUGGUCUUGAGAGGGUGACCUAGAAAGAAAUUGCCCAAAGAAUGCGAACUAUUCACUUAUGAAUGUGAAUUAUCUGCCUACAAAGGAUGCAUUUUCUGGGGAAAACUCUUGUCAUUUCAACAGGAACAACGAAAUUGGGCAAAAGGGAUUCACUGCUGAAUUCCCUGAUAAGCUGCCUCAGUUUCCUCACUGCAACUGAGAAAAGAAAUGUCUGCAAAGACAAAGAUUAAAACAAGCAUGGUUUCGUUUGGCCACUUUUUGAUAUCCCUUUUCCACAUGGCUGAAUACCAUCAGUUCACCAUUCCAGGCAGACAGCAAGGGAUAUGCAUGAAAAUACAAAGGGAUGGAUUAACAUGGUCCAGAGAGGCCAGUCCUUGUGGAAUAAGGAUUGAAGGACACCUGCAGUGGACACUUGGUACUCUAGAAAUUCCCCUUUAUCCCCCUUUCCCACCCACAUUGCCACUUUGGGAGCUGCCAUCCUGGUGCAAUGUCACUUUCCUUGUGGCCACAGUUGACUGGUCCAGAUUUAUCCCCUGAAUUAAAAUGGGC